UCUUAAGCUUUGCAACAAUGGUUACAUAAUCUCUUUACAAACAAUCUUUCUCUACACUCUAAUUCUCUUUUUGUUUCUCUUCUAUUCUCUCAAUACCAAUCUUAUUCUCUAAAAUCAUAUCAAGUAUGUGCAAGCUAUCCAAGAUUUGAAAGAGGAGAUCACCUUGUUACAGAUUUCAAACGAGAAAUUGAAUGGUGUGGGUCUCGAGAGUCUGAGCUACACCGAACUGACUUCGCUUGAAAGUAAGUUAACGGAGGGCUUACGCAUUG